rnacentral:tRNA from 1 species
GGAGAGAUGGCCGAGUGGCUGAAGGCGCUGGUUUGCUAAACCAGUGAACGUGUAAAGCGUUCCGAGGGUUCGAAUCCCUCUCUCUCCG